rnacentral:lncRNA from 1 species
CCAGGAUAGUUUGGCUACCCUCGUCGUCGUCUCACUCACCCCGCCUUCACGCCUCCCUCACCAAAUAAGGUCCCGCCCUUUUCCGACAUUCACAGGGGGGACAGGAAAUCAGCGGCCAUGGCCUCGAUUCCGGCGACGACCUUCGCCGUCAUCUUAUCCGUCCUCUUCUGUGCCGCGGCUGGCACCGCCGUCGACAACGACCUCCCCGACUACGUCAUCCAGGGCCGCGUCUAUUGCGACACCUGCCGCGCCGGGUUCGUGACCAAUGUCACCGAGUACAUCGCGGGCGCCAAGGUGAGGCUGGAGUGCAAGCACUUCGGCACCGGCAAGCUCGAGCGCUCCAUCGACGGGGUGACCGACGGGAACGGCACGUACACGAUCGAGCUCAAGGACAGCCACGAGGAGGACAUCUGCGAGGUGGUCUUGGUGGAGAGCCCGCGCAAGGACUGCGACCAGGUGCAGGCGGACAGGGACCGCGCCGGCGUCCUGCUCACCAGGAACGUCGGCAUCAGCGACAACCUGCGCCCCGCCAACCCGCUCGGCUACCUCAAGGACGUGCCGCUGCCCAUCUGCGCCUCGCUGCUCAAACAGUUGGACUCGGACGACGACGACGAUCAGUAAUAGCACAUCGACGACGACGAUCGAUAUGUAAUAGCACGUCGUCGACGACCGACCGCAGUCGUCGCAGACUGGCUGGCACUAAACCACAAAUCCUCUUCACCUGGAUUACAAAUAUGUAACUGAGAAAGGAAAGGAAAACAAAAAUGUAACUGCGUGGCUGUACCAAAUUCUGAGUGCUGGAUUCUUGCUAUUGUCACCCAUUGUUCGUUUUAUCAUACAAGUUGCAGCGCAGCGCAAGACGGCUAAGGCCUUGUUCGUUUGUGUCGGAUUGCAUCCGGAAUCGUUCCACCUAAUCAAAGUUUAUAUAAAUUAGAGAAGCAAUCCGGUUCGAAAUCAUUCCGACCCACCAAUCCAGUAGAAACGAAUAAGGCCUAAAACAGACAGCAAUACAGCUCUGGUGAAAACAUGCCGACAGAAAUAACCAAUCUAAUGACCUGCGGUUCUGACAGCAAGAUAAAUAUACCAUUUCAUUUCCAUGGGAAAUCAAUAAGUUACAUGGCGUUCAUAAGGACUAAGCACGGCCAAGGUGUAUUUUGCACCUAAAGCACGCACAGCAUAUUGAUUACAUAACAUCUCAUGAAGCGUGCAUUAGUCCUAAGGGGUGCUCGUGGCAAAGCUUGGAUUAUCAAAGAAGAAGAUAGCUAUUCUUCUCUACCACGGCUUCAGAUCUCCCACAGGACCAGCGGUCCAGUUGAGGCGCUGAUCGCCAGGUUGUAAGAACGUACCCUCUGGGUGCGGGAGCUUCCGAGCAAGGCCGUUCAAGAUUUGGUGGAACGCGUCCCUUGGUUGCGCUGGCUGUGGGAACAACAUUGCCUGCUUCAUCGAUGGAUUUGCGAGUAACCUUUGCUUCCUUAAGAUGUCAUCUAUAGGCAUCGACGUGAGGAUCGUGUCAAGCUUUGGGACAUCCUUCUCCUCGACAAAGACGCCGAUUUCCUCCCAUGGGAUCGCGUCCGCAAAUGGAAGCACGAUGUCAUCAGCUAUGAUGACUGGAAUGCAGCCAAAGACCACAGCCUCAACCAACCUAGGGCUCCACGGUGCCCAGCCCAAUGGGCACAGGCAGAAGACAGCGCGCUGCAUGUCUUCAUAGUAAGUGGCAGGGUGGUCUGUGGAAAUGUCAAACAGAGGGUUGCUCUUGAAGUUCUCCCAUAGCGAAGCUCGCGCACCUCUGUAUGACAAUAUUGAAGUGAAUGAAGGUAUCAAACAUACAAGAUUCAAAUCUGUUCAAACUUGAAAAGCAGUUGCUACCUUGCAUAGUAUCCGCCCUCGGGGUCAUUCCCCGUGUCAUAAAAAAGUCCCCGGAAGUAAACGAAGAUUGAGCGUGGAGUGUCUGGGGAAAUCAAGUGAGCUUGCAUUUUCUGCGGAGGAGCAUAGGGUGGAAUAAUGAUGGAACCCUCCUUCAGGCAAACAUGAUUCUCCUGUCCAAAGGUUUGGACCAAUGUAGCACGUCGCAGCAAUGGAAGAAUUCCACGCUCGAUAGCUUUUUCUUCCUGGAAAUGCCGAUACAAUCGUUACACAUACAACUUGUGAGUAAAAUGUAAGUUAAGGCAUUAAAAGGCAAGACUGCACACAAUGAAAAGCAUGGUGAACCUCACCUGAUAGUGGAAGCAUGCUGCAAAAUCAUGCGGAACAACGAAGAAAUGAUCUGCUCCAUCAGUCCUAUUCCAGAAGGGCCAUUUGUUUGAAAUAUAUUGGAUCGCGCUCCUCAUCACCCGUGGUGACUUAAACGGCAAGGGCAGUCCAGCGUUAGUUAAAUCGCAAGUAGUGUAAACUGGUGUAUAGAACCAAUCAGCUUCCUUGGGAUUUAGUGUCCGGACAGCACUCGAGAGCAAGAAACGAUGCAUGAAAAUUUCAGCAGCAAACAUGUGACUGAGGCACCGUGAAUCCUUGGUGACCAUCUUCUUGUUGUACUUCCUUGGUAAGUCAUAAAUGAAGACCUUCAACCUACCCACAGGAUUAUCUUCUAACACAUCACCAGCACUCCCUACAGUUUCAUAAUUGCUGUUUCAGUCCACACAAGCAACACACAUGAACAAAAUAUGAAGUAGACAAAGCAAAACAAUCAUAUGGAGAUUUUUCUACAUAAUAUUGUGAGCAACCUCUCCAUGUAGACUACAUCUAAGGUUACGAUACAAUAGUCUUUUUAAAGUUGAACCAAUUCAUGUCAUUAAGUUGGGCUCAUCUUUGUUUCCAUACCAUUUCAGCCAACCGAACCCAGAUUACCUGUAUACAGCUGCAUAUAAAGAAGACUCAUUUUCCAUGUUUCGAUAUCUGUUAGGAUCAACCUUACAAGUAACAAAAGCAAGAAAUUCUGGUGGACUAAAUGAAGGAGGACACCCAAAAUUAACCCUCAAGUAACAACUAAACGGUGAUUGUGUCACCCACAACUAACUACAAAGACGAUCGAGCUUGAACCUGAAAAUCUUCACGGAGAAAAAGUAAAAAAGAAGGCAAAAAAUGGAAAGCAAAUUCAGGCUGCACUGAUACAGAUUUGUCUAUCGGCCUCAAAGACGUCCUAGUCCACAAGUCUAAUCAACAGCAACAGCUAAGAAUAUUCAGAAAUCACCUAAUCAAUCUCCAACUCCACAGCUACAAGAGAUUAGUAUCACACGGAACGAAGAAAUUAACAGCUACGUAGGCCUCGGAUUCCAAGGCAGGCUACGAGAAGCAACACGUCGAAGGGUAGGGGAAAAAUCAAGUUCCUAAAUCACACCAGAAUCAACUUCGGAAAUUAAGAGGGGAAGAAGGUGGGGCACCUGAGAUGCGCUCGCUAUGCUGCUGAACGGCGUGUUCGGCCUCGCCGCCUCCGGCGGCGGCGGCGGCGACCGGCGGCCAGAGGGCAGAGUCGGCCAACAGCAGGAGGGCCACGGGGAACCACCCCUUUCUUGAUCCCAUCCCAGAAGACCUCUCCGGCCUCGACCUCCCGCAGCAAAGAGAGAGCUUGGCAAGGGGAUUGGAUUUAGGAAUUCGGUAAACAGAAGCAGGUUGGGGAAACUAAGGAGAGAUUUUGUUAGGGAACGUAUCUCGUGCUCAGGCGAUGUCCGUGCUCAUGUGAGCACUUUAAAUCGUGAGUGUUCCUUUUUAAUCCAACGAUUAGUGUUUUUUAUUCACUUAAGUCCUCUCACCUCAACGAUGAGUGUUCCUGAUCAGCAGCCUGAUCGUUGGAUUAAGAAGAAACACUCAUGAUUUAAAGUGCUCACAUGAGCACGGACGUCGCGUGAGCACGAGAUACGUUCCCAUUUUGUUAACGAGGAAGAGGGGACCGGGGAGGAGAGGAGAGAAUGGGUCCUUCCCUGCGACUGCGAGUCUGCGACCAGUCCACAGUUAUCAAACGGAAACACCUAUUUUUUUUCUCCUUCUGAGUCAUAGUUUUGAAAUAAGGUUGAACUAGAGGUGUUUACCUAUCUAGUGACAUUUUUUAAUAUACUAGAGCUAAUAGUUAGUUAGAUAAAAAAUUACGAAUAAAAUUAGCUAGCUAACAAAUAACUAGCUAACUAUUAGCUAGUUUGCUAAAAAUAACUAAUAAUUAAACUAAUAGAUAAGAUGUUUGGAUAUCUUCAGUUAAUUUUAUCAAUUACUCUGUCCAUAUGUUUUAGUUGUUUUAGUCUAUCAUAAUUCAAAUUAUUUUAACUUUAACCAAUAAUAUAUAUAAGAUUAAAUUAUUUUAAGCUAAAAAGAAUUACAUAUUAUGGUAGUUUAAUUUUAUGUUGUAAAAUCUUAUGAACAUUUGAUAUAUUCAAAUAAAAUUAAUAGUGGUUAACUUAGAAUAAAUCUAAAACGAUUAAAUCAUGUGGAGAGAGAUAGAGUAACUAUUAGCUUAGUGUAAGGUUAUGGUCUUGAACUCUUGACUGAGCAAGUUCGUUACCCGAAAAAAAA